rnacentral:pre_miRNA from 1 species
CUUCUACUCCCUCCGUCCGGAAUUACUUGUCAUCAAAAUGGAUGAAAAUGGAUGUAUCUAGAACUAAAGUACAUCUAGAUACAUCCAUUUCAAUGACAAGUAUUUCCGGACGGAGGGAGUAUAUU